UACAGGGGGUGCAAACGUUGCUCGGAAUCAUUGGGCGUAAAGCGCACGUAGGCGGUUCGUUAUGUCGGAUGUGAAAGCCCUUGGCUUAACCGAGGAAGUGCAUCCGAAACUGGCGAGCUAGAGUACGAAAGAGGAUCGCGGAAUUCCCGGUGUAGAGGUGAAAUUCGUAGAUGUCGGGAGGAACACCGGUGGCGAAGGCGGCGAUCUGGGUCGAUACUGACGCUGAGGUGCGAAAGCGUGGGGAGCAAACAGG
rnacentral:rRNA from 1 species